CUUUCCCCACCACGACCUGCUUGGCGCCCAACCUCGCCGCUUCGUCGUUGCCGGUGAGCCCCUCUUCUCAAACUGCCAUGGACGCGGCACCCUCGAGCUUGACCUCUUCCCCUCCUCUAUCUCUACCCCCCACCAGGACCAUCGUUUGCGUGCCCCUCACCACCGCUGCUGCAACGACCCACUCCGUCGCUACUCCAAGCUUCCUCGCCGAGCUUCUGCAGCCGGCGGCGGCGCCACGGGCGUCGACCUUUUUUUUGCUUCAACCAAAACGGCGCUGUGAAACGAGAUGGGGGUAGUGCUACAACCAGCGACGUUGGAAGCUACAACCGGCUUUGGCGAAAGCUGCAUCCAAAGAGUAGAAAGCUACAACCAGUGCACCGGCGGAAGCUGGAACCAGAGACAAGAAAAGCUACAACCAUCAUCCGGAUUUGCUACAACGGAUGCGGCGACAGCACCAACCACCGGAGCUGCACUCGCGAGCAAUGACUCCACAGUGGCGACCCCUUUUGCUGGAACCAUCACCAGCUUUCGCUACUACAGGCAGGAAAUUUGCUACAUCUAUCAUAAAGGGAGCUGCAUGGUGCUCGACCGACAGAUCUUUUUUGCUGAAACCGACUACUAGCGGAGCUGCAACCACGCAACGCGGAUGCUGGAACCAUUGCCGACGAAAGAUGGAACUGGUGUCUUUUUUUUGCUUCAACCAACGAAGUGGUGCUGAGAUGAUGAUGUGCGCCGCCGUGGAGACGACAGCGAGGAGCACGGACGGCGCCACUUGUGCGGUGGGGCGGCACGACCCGAUGGCUGCAACCUUGCCGGCUGCUGCUAGGAACGCACUGCCGCAGUAGCGACGCAUCCCACAGGUAGAAGAUGGAAGAUGUGGUAGUCAUGGUGAGGCGACUGCGAGGUUGCAAGCACACCCACGACGACGAGGCGCGCGUCCAUGGCUGGGAGCGGUACGACCCGCGGCGCUUGCGGGCGCGGCCGGAGACGUGCGCGCUGGAGGUGCUUGCGGGGGCUGGUGGUGCCGGCGAGGGCUGGUGUUGUGGGUGGGUAUCGAUAGCGGAGAACGACCAGGGAAGAAGAUGAGAGUUGACUCGGGGGGAAAAGAGUUUUCUAAUCUAACGGCUGUGCGUUGUCCAAUCGAACGAUGUAGCUGCGACCGGUGGAAGCCUUGCGCCGGUCGACCGGCGCAGAUCACUGCCCAAAAACAAAGCUUUCAGAAAUUACAAAAA